UGGACCUCAGAUCAGGCAAGAUCACCCGCUGAGUUUAAGCAUAUCACUAAGCGGAGGAAAAGAAACUAACGAGGAUUC
rnacentral:rRNA from 2 species